CCAUUGCAAUUACAUGGAAUAUAACCUUGGUGUUCUGACUUCUGAUUGCAGUAUCAUUCUCAUAUUUAGACAAAGUUUUAUUUUUUUUCAAAGAGAAAAAUAGAAACCUUGAAAGAUUUGACAAAAAAAUUUAAAGAAAAGAAUUUGGUAGGGGCCGCGCGGACGCGUACCCCCUCUACCACAAAUUAUGACGUCCACUCUCCCACUUGGGGAGAUGGUAGAGCAGCGCUCCCGCCAAGUGCAAUGCGGGCCGCUACCCUAGGCCGCGGGCCUUCUUGAUCACCCAUCGACCCCGUCCAGGUAAGUAUAUUUCUCAUCAGCCCAUCAACUAAUUUUAUAUAGAACGGAGACCCCUCUUGUUUCGUAAGCAAACGAUGUGGGACUAAUAAAGCAACAAAGAAUGCCAUUAAUAAAUAAAUAGAGAACAGAAGAUUACUGGGGAAAUUAGAUCGCUAUAUUCAUAAAUCAAAUAAACAGCACAAAUUUCAGCUCCUUUUCGAAUACCAGACGUAAUAAGAAGAACUUUUGGGGUUUAAGACCCUUAGCACCUUUCAACAAUGGCCAUACUAGUGGCUAAUGUUUAGCUAAUUUCAUCUUUAUGAUUUUUUGACACUAGAGCAUCUCCGACCAUUCUUGCUAUGUCCGUAUGCUUCGCAAGAAGAAAGAACAGUGGAUGUUCAACUACUGAGACUCUAGAAUGAUUUCAAGAUUUGAGCAUCCACUUGAGUUUGUCGUGGAUACGGCAGUGACGAGUACAAGCUUGGUUUCAAUACGAGAUGUGGCGAUUCAGUUAAGGUGAUUUUUUUGCCUUUUUUGUCCAAUCGAAAGGGAGGCAAGUGAGAGCCAACCGGCCGGCUUUUGUUGAUUGAUUAAAAGCUGUUUACGAGUGAAGAAAAGUAGGGGAAAAAAAAACAUAGAGCAAAGAAAAUACCAAAAAAAAUAAAAGUUAAUGGAAGGAGAUCUUAGAACUCCCCACAGUGACAAUAUGAGAGAAAAAAUUUCGGCGCUCGUCCGGGUAUCCUCUCAGCAACAAAAAUGCCCAACCAUUUCAGCGUUAUGUAAAGAAUUGAUAAGAAUUUUCAGAAGAUUCUUUUCCCUCAAAAAAAAAAAAAGAACAGAAUAUCUCCACUGCAUGAGAAUCAAAUAUUUAGCAGUGUACUAAGAAUUUUUUGAUUUCAGGAUCUAUCCAAAUGCUAGCAAAGGCUUAUGAUUACAUUGAAUUGACCGUUCAUUGAGUGAGUGAAGGCCAGCUGAAGCCUAUGUUUCUUUCCUUCCAACAAACCCACAUGCAAUGGCCACAAAUAUCUUAGGAUAAUAGGCUGAAAAAGUUUGGAUAAAUUUUUUUUCAUUUCCUCCGAUCAAUACAAAGCUUUGCCUAAGAGGGUUGAAGAUGUAACACUCCAAGAGAACAACAAAUCCCUUUCCAAAUGGUAAAGAAGAUUGGCCAUGUCGAGAGCAAGUGAUCCACAACCUAUGAUGAUCCAGCCCAUUGGUCCAUUUGAUCAGCCUGAUAGAUCUGAGGCUCUUGGGUCUCUUUACCCCUGCAUAGAUCUGAGGCUCCAAAAAGACAUCUGCCUGCACAUAGAACCACCAGGAAACAUCAACUUUUGAUAGAUCAUUAACAUCUAAUGAAGGAGUUUUGACGAUUGCAGCCAGACAACAGUCAACUGUUUUUUGUUGAACGGCUUCAAGCAUUAACUCAGCUGACCAUGAACUUAGAAAAAAACCGCUUGUGGAACAGACGUCAGGUUACCCGAUCAAAGAAACACAGCUUUGAUUUUUCAGAUAUUAAGUAAAUAAAAUAUCUUUUUAGCAUCAUGAAAUAUCAUCGGUGAGAAAUAAAAUAAUAAAAAUUACAAUUAACUGCUUAAAGUAAAAGAGUAUAGAAAGGGAGACCACCACGGCUUGAAUUAGAUGAUUAUGGAAACCAAAAUUAAAAUUUCCAGGCAACAUAAAAUGUUACACAUUGAAGUCUGUUGAAGGAUUAAAAUCAAAAUGUGUUUCUAAAGGAAUUGGGACUGAACAAUAGCAACAAUAUAUUGAGCAAUUACUAUCUUUGGAAUGAUUACAAGGAGAUUGCCAGGGAAUAUUAAAUUUUACCAGUUAAGUCUCUGGAAGGAUUCAGAUCCAUAUGCAAUUCUAAGGGAAUUGACACUUCGAAAAAAUAACAACAUAGUGAGCAUUAUUUUUUGGAUGAUUACAGGAAGGUUUGAAAAUAUAGUUCAUAGGAAUGUAUUUUCAAUCUCCACACGAGUUGUACAGAUUUUAUUCAUCCUCUAGUUAACCUCAUUCUUAAAACAUGUUGCAAAAGCAAACAAAAUCUUUAGAAGACAUACCAAUUGGACUUCAUCUCCCGUAGCAUAAUUUCCGGCACGGUCUUUUAACAGUUUCUCAAGGGCUGAAACACAAACAAAUAAGCACAAAAUCAGACAUAUAAAAGCUAAGCCACAAUUGUCCGACCUAAAUCAAGCUCAUUUGACCACUGAAAACAACUAUAGAGCAGUCGAGAAGAACAUUAUACGACAAGAAUAAAAAGAAUGCCAAGCGAACUAAGGUGGUCACUUUUGUGCUAUCAACUGCAUAAUUUAUUCUUGAUAUUAAGACUUGAACUAUGACAUUGUUCUUCGCUGAAUUCUACUAUUUCCCAGGAAAACCUAAUGAAGGAUAUGAUUCAUUUCUCAAAAAUCCAUAUCUCAAUGAAGCUUGUAUAAGAAGAUUUCAACACUUCUGCUUGUAUAGGAUUUCAAAUCAAAGUGAUCAAUAGUAUCCAAAUCCAAGAGAAAAACAUUGUCACACAUAUAUACAAAAAUUAUAUGAUGCAUAGAUUCUUUGUUGUUAUAAUGAGCCAAUAUGAGCAUCACUUAGACCUUAUAGAGCAAGAAUUUCUUUUCGAAUAUUUAAAACGGCAACCUAGAUAAUUCAAUGACAACAAAGGGACACAUCAUUAGGUUAACAUAACAUUUUCUGAGACAAAGUAUUAUGAAAAGCAAACUUCGCAUUGCAAUGACUCACAAGAUUACUGUAAGAACAACAGCACCUGAUGACAGUUCUGCCUGAUGCCAGGAACACAAAAGGUGCAAGAAUUUCAUCUUAAAGUAGAGAAGUAUAAUAAGAAGGAUAGCAAGAAGAUAGUUUUGUUAAUUAAUAAAUUCUAAAGGUUCCAGAGUACUCUAUUUUCAUAAAAUAGUUGAGGAAUUCAUUGAAAUCAAGGUAAAUCUAGAAUCAGAAAAUUCCUUAACAUGUAAUGAAAGGCUAGCAUGGUGUUUUAGGAUUUUGUAGUGGAUAAUAUAUUCCUCUAACCAUACCUUAUUUGUAACAAGCAAGCUAAGAAGCUUGAGAUUAAGCUUGAAAUUUUCUAUUUUUAUUUUUCAAAAAAAAGGAAUCAUUCAAAAUAUUUUCCCUCUGUCAAGGAUGUGAUAAUUCCAUCAGUCCUACAAGAUCUCCUAGAGUCUAGUCUAGCACAAAACAACAAUGUAACAGGGCAUUGGCUACAGAGAUUCAUGCACAAACAAGCAUAAUGCAAGCACUAGACUCACAAGGAGCAUAGUAAAAGCUAUAUCAGGGUAAGUUGUAUUAAAGCAAGGUUGGUGCUGCAAGAGCACACCAUACCAACCCAGAUAAACAUACGUAGGUGAGGCAAAGUGUAAGAAAGAAGGGUCUCCUAAAGAUAAUAGAAUCUCAUGAGUCAAGGAGGGAAAACAACAUGAAGUGUCAUGCUUGUUAGUAGCCCUAAUAGAGAAUGUAAUUUCUUGACAAAAUCUUGACGGUCAAAAAUGGUAGUUCUUGCUACAACAGCAAGAAUGGUUCAGGGACAUCUUUUAGCUUUUGAUCUUUAAUAAUUCCUACCAUUCUCUUUAUAUUUCCUGCAAUGUUCAAAGUGGUGACAAAAGCAAUACAAAAUUCAUAUGUAAGUCCAUUCCAGAUUACACUCAACAAGUAAGCACAUCUAUAUCAGUUAUAGAGGAACAACAAUGUUUACUGAUAACUAAACAAACCUCUGAAGCCUUUAUUGAUAUGGUGCUGAGCCCAUUUAAGUCUCUCAUCAGUAUUGAACUUUGACUCUAUCCAACUCUGAAAAGUGAUUACCAACACAAAGAAAGACCAAAUUUCAGGUCAAAUGCAUCGAAGGAGCAUAAUGGUGAUUGUGGGAAUAAAUACUGAGUUUUAAAAGCAGCAAUCCAGCUUUUUUUAACUCACCAGGACAGUAAUACUCUGAAGAGGCUGGAUACUGGAACUCACAAUACUUGCUACCUAAAAUAAGUUAUAGAAAUUUGUGCUUGUCAAAAUUGCAAACAAAAGGUAUAUGGCUUGAUUAUGCAGACAAAAGACUAUACACUUCUGAAAUAAAUCUCAAUAAUGGAAACUGAAUGGCUUGACUUUGCAGAUGAAGACUAUACAAACAUUCUAUCUGCAUUCAAAGUGUUUUGCAAUAAUCAGUCCUACAACCUAACUUCCUCAUAAUACUUAGUAUCAACUAAAUACUUACAUUGACUUAACUAAGUGUCACCUAAUAGUAUCAGCUUAACCUUCAAAAUCUUGAUCUUGCUAUCAUUUAUGUUUUACCUUCAAUUUUCCACAAAUACUUAGUAUCAACUAAACUAGGUUAGUAUGCUACUUCAUGCUAUAAGACUAGCAGCAUGCAGCACUAAUAGCAUGGCCAUUGAAGCCUUACCUGGAGAUUGAGGGCCUUCUUUUUAAGAUCUUGUGGCAGCAGUGGAUAUUGAGGAUACUUAUCUUCCAAAUACUGUCCAAGCCAAAGGCAAACUGUUACCAUCACCAUCGUGUUUAAAAGGCAACCAGGUAAAAGCCAAUAAGUCAUAGGACCAUCAUUUACUCACCAAUAUGAUUGCAAACGAGUCAGAAACCACUGUAUCCCCAUCCACCAAAGCCGGAACAUAUUUAACUGGAUUGAUCUUCACAAAUUCUAGAAUUUAUUUGUAGAAAAAUGAAUAAAAAUCCCAUUGUGAACAAAAACUAUUAGGCUAUCAAACAAAUAGAGCAACUCUAGCUCAGCCGAGAAAAGCUCGAAACAAGCUCAAUUUGAAGCUAAAGAAAUAAAGCUUGAACCAUAAAAAUAGGCCCAAAGUUAAUUUCAAGCCAAACCAAAAAUUAACCUAGCUCAAUCAAGCUCGGCUCAAUAUGGCUUCCAGAUAUUUAUAUUUUAUAUAUUUAAUAUUAUAUAUAGAUUAUUAGCCAUUGGAUUAAAGCUUGAAUUACUGUAUUUUAUUUGUUCUUUCAAUCAGCUAACUGUUAAUACGUGCUCGAACCAUCAAGCUUGAAUCAAGUUAUUAUUCCAGCUUGAACAGUGCUUCGAUUUUAGCUCGCUAUAGACUUAUUGAGCUGCUCAAUUAGGCUUGUGUUCAGCUAGGUUCAAAAUUAAGCUCGAAAUAAUGGUAAAUAAAUCAAGUUUUAUCUCAAAAUUCAAGCUCCAAAUUAAUUUCAAACCAAGCUUGAUCAAGCUCAACUUGAUUGCAGCCCUGAAAACUAUUUUAAGAAAACGCAAAGAAAAACAUAUGUAUCAUCUAAUUAACAUCAUGAUUAUUUGAAGUAAAUGGUAGGUGAUUUUGGCGUCUUUUUGAUUGCGAGAUGGCACGCUUAGAUAUAAACAGAGCCUAAUGGGCACCAAAGCCCGUCUGCUUAUAAGAAGCUUCAGUGCAGCAUGCCAAUGUUGAAGUCAGUAGAGUAACGACAACCAUAUGAUAUUAGCAGCUUCAACCUUGUUAGGUUUGCAUAAAUAGUUCCGGUAAAUAUUUUGGUUGGAUAAUAGCUUGUAUGGUACAAAGAUAAUUAGAUUAUUGGUCAAAGAUGAGGAAGGAAAAAAAGUAGUGGUAGGAGAGAGUGACAAAUUAGAUCUUUGGCAGAGGUGAGAUAUAUUUCUGGUAAAGCUUUUGAUUGGAUAUUAGCUAUUAUGGUGCAAAAAUAAUAAGAGUAUGUUUGGAUGCAAACAUAAACUAUUCUGGGGUAAGUAGAAUUUUGGCUGAAAAUAAGAAACAAAGUUGUGGUUGGAGAGACCGAUACAUUGGAUCUUUGGCCAGAGAUGAGCUAAGCACAAACGUCAUAAGAAAAAAAAAAGGAAAUAUCAAUUGUAAAUAGGAAUAACCCCACUUCAAGUUUUAUUUUCUAAUUCCAAAGGGAAGAUAAGAUGGAUGCAGCUGAGCCACUUGCUUCAUAAGGGCCAACUACUAAUAAUAAAUCAGUCUCUGGAGAGAAUUUCCUUAACUUGUUUGUAGCCAGAAUGUAGCAUGUACGAAGAAAUGGUAUAUUUGCCUGAGAACAAAGGAACAUGCACAACAGCAAGCUAUGACUUAAAAAAUCCAUCCUUCACCAUUCUUUACUGGUUCUCCUUUGCGAUUUAUUUCAUGAGGAUUUUAACCUACCAGCACAACCUUGGAUCAUGCUAAUGCUGCCAAUAGACAUGCUCAGUAGUCUGUAGGACUUGAGGGGGACAUAGGCUGGCUUUGAGGCCUGUCAGGCAGGGUUGCCAUUGGACCAGGCUAGAGAUGAGGAUACAAAGCUUUUGGGAGUGGUCUGGGCUGACCUGGCCCUCUUCAGGCCUAGCUUGAGGCCAUUGUAAGAUGACAGAAAACUGGAUGAGUCCGAGUCCUGGUAUACUGUAGAAGCAUCUAAUGCUUGGCUUCUCUUCAUGUUUUGCCAAUACAUUGUUAAAGUGGGCUCAUGAAUGCCUCCCUAAGUUCGAUUUCUGUUGCUAAUUAAAAUGCUUCUGUAACUUUUGCCAAAUUGUUGUUCUUACAUUGCUUAUAGAAUAUAGAACGAUUUAGUUUUCUCUCAGCGGCCAGAUCCAGUCAUGUAGUCAUGCUCUUCAGAACUGAUAUUAUUUCAAUUUUCAGGUAUUAUUAGUUUGAUAUAUAAGAAUUUAAAAAAUCUCGGUGUUCCAUUGCAAUUACAUCUUAAGGCAGUAUCCCGUUGUCCGAAAGAUUUGAACAAAAAAAAGGCAAAAGAAGUAAAAAUUUAAAGAAAAGAAUUUGGUAGGGGCCGCGCGGACGCGUACCCCCGCUACCACAAAUUAUGACGUCCACUCUCCCACUUGGGGAGAUGGUAGAGCAGCGCUCCCGCCAAGUGCGAUGCGGGCCGCUACCCUAGGCCGCGGGCCUUCUUGAUCACCCAUCGACCCCGUCCAGG
rnacentral:lncRNA from 1 species